rnacentral:rRNA from 1 species
AGCGAACGCUGGCGGCAGGCCUAACACAUGCAAGUCGAACGAACUCUUCGGAGUUAGUGGCGGACGGGUGAGUAACACGUGGGAACGUGCCUUUAGGUUCGGAAUAACUCAGGGAAACUUGUGCUAAUACCGAAUGUGCCCUUCGGGGGAAAGAUUUAUCGCCUUUAGAGCGGCCCGCGUCUGAGUAGCUAGUUGGUGAGGUAAAGGCUCACCAAGGCGACGAUCAGUAGCGGGUCUGAGAGGAUGAUCAGCCACAUUGGGACUGAGACACGGACCAAACUCCUACGGGAGGCAGCAGUGGGGAAUCUUGCGCAAUGGGCGAAAGCCUGACGCAGCCAUGCCGCGUGAAUGAUGAAGGUCUUAGGAUUGUAAAAUUCUUUCACCGGGGACGAUAAUGACGGUACCCGGAGAAGAAGCCCCGGCUAACUUCGUGCCAGCCGCCGCAGUAA